rnacentral:rRNA from 1 species
GACGAACGCUGGCGGCGUGCUUAACACAUGCAAGUCGAGCGGUAAGGCCCUUUCGGGGGUACGACGAGCGGCGAACGGGUGAGUAACACGUGGGUGACCUGCCCUCAGCUCUGGGAUAAGCCUGGGAAACUGGGUCUAAUACUGGAUAUGACUCCACGGUGCAUGUCGUGGGGUGGAAAGCCUUGUGCGGCUGAGGAUGGGCCCGCGGCCUAUCAGCUUGUUGGUGGGGUGAGGCCUACCAAGGCGACGACGGGUAGCCGGCCUGAGAGGGCGACCGGCCACACUGGGACUGAGACACGGCCCAGACUCCUACGGGAGGCAGCAGUGGGGAAUAUUGGACAAUGGGCGAAAGCCUGAUCCAGCAAUGCCGCGUGUGUGAAGAAGG